rnacentral:rRNA from 1 species
GGAUUAGAAACCCUGGUAGUCCAUGCCGUAAACGUUGGGCACUAGGUGUGGGGGACAUUCCACGUUUUCCGCGCCGUAGCUAACGCAUUAAGUGCCCCGCCUGGGGAGUACGGCCGCAAGGCUAAAACUCAAAGGAAUUGACGGGGGCCCGCACAAGCGGCGGAGCAUGCGGAUUAAUUCGAUGCAACGCGAAGAACCUUACCAAGGCUUGACAUGAACCGGAAACGCCUGGAAACAGGUGCCCCACUUGUGGUCGGUUUACAGGUGGUGCAUGGUUGUCGUCAGCUCGUGUCGUGAGAUGUUGGGUUAAGUCCCGCAACGAGCGCAACCCUCGUUCCAUGUUGCCAGCGGGUAGUGCCGGGGACUCAUGGGAGACUGCCGGGGUCAACUCGGA